UACGAAGGGGGCUAGCGUUGCUCGGAAUCACUGGGCGUAAAGCGCACGUAGGCGGCUUUCUAAGUCGGGGGUGAAAUCCUGGAGCUCAACUCCAGAACUGCCUUCGAUACUGGAAAGCUCGAGUCCGGGAGAGGUGAGUGGAACUGCGAGUGUAGAGGUGAAAUUCGUAGAUAUUCGCAAGAACACCAGUGGCGAGGGCGGCUCACUGGCCCGGUACUGACGCUGAGGUGCGAAAGCGUGGGGAGCAAACAGG
rnacentral:rRNA from 1 species